rnacentral:rRNA from 1 species
AGCGAACGCUGGCGGCAGGCUUAACACAUGCAAGUCGAGCGGGCAUCCUUGUGGUGUCAGCGGCAGACGGGUGAGUAACGCGUGGGGACGUGCCCUUCGUUUCGGAAUAACUCAGGGAAACUUGAGCUAAUACCGGAUACGUGCGAGAGCAGAAAGGUUUAUCUGCCGAAGGAUCGGCCCGCGUCUGAUUAGCUAGUUGGUGAGGUUACGGGUCACCAAGGCGACGAUCAGUAGCUGGUCUGAGAGGAUGAUCAGCCACACUGGGACUGAGACACGGCCCAGACUCCUACGGGAGGCAGCAGUGGGGGAUAUUGGAAAAUGGGGGCAACCCUGAUCCAGCCAGGACGGGUGAGUGAUGAAGGCCUUAGGGUUGUAAAGCUCUUUUAUCCGGGACGGUAAUGACGGUACCGGAGGAAUAAGCCCCGGCUAACUUCGUG